ensembl:lncRNA
ACUGAGUGGUUAUAUGGUGGUGAGAAUAGCGCAGGCAUUGCAGUCUAUGAGGGUUCGAGCUCCCAUCGCUGUUAAUGAACUCACACUUGAUCCAAAUGAUAAACAGCUGUCAGAGAGGAAUCUGUCCAGGAUCGUGAGCAGUUUGGCCAUCCUUCUGAGACUCUGGACUGUCCAGUGUUUGAACUUGACUGAAUACAAGAUUCAGUCUGUUUCUGUGUCUGUCCUACUGUGUCAUCAGGGACCUGUGAUUCUCAGACCAUCAAAGGAGACUCUCCAGAAUCUGGUUGAAUGUGUCUAUGAAGCUCAGGAAGAAGAACUGACUCAAUGCUUCCUGCAGAAAGUGGGUGGAGAUCUGACUUCCUGUUCCUUAAACUGGGAAGAGCUUCAUUAUUUCUUGCAGCACAAAAUUCAACUCAUCUCUGUGGACUUCAGAAAGAGCAACAUUCAAUGCAGCAUCAAUGAAAUCCUGCCAUUUCUAAACAGGAUUAAGUUUAAACGGAUGAGCUCUAGCUUCAUGCUGUCUGUGAUCAGAGAGAUCUAUGAGUCCGGCUCUGUGGGUUUUGUGUCCGGUCUGUUGAGUUCAGUGAAGAACUACCUUAAUCUGCAGAGCAGAGAGCUGGACUCUGUUCACUGUGCGGCCCUGCGCUUCACACUGCAGCACUGCACUGCAGUUUCACUCAAUCUACAGUGGACCUCCAUACCAGAGGAAGAGCUGGAGAGCAUUCUGCUUCUCUUCACACAUGUCUCCCAUCUCAGGUCUCACUGCUUUUCUCUAUGGGUGCUUCUCAAUAGGAAGGCUUCAUCAUAA